AUGAUUUACCAAAAAUUUAUAAGUUAUUUUAAUUUGGCUGGGAUCUUAACCAAAUAUUACACCAUCAGAAUUGACACAAAGCUCGCAAAUAAUAUGACUUGGCUCAACCCGAGAAUGUCCCACUGGCCCUACUUAUUUCAAACUCGGAGAGUAAGUAGUUAUUACCUGGUCAAAGUGCAAGUAAGCAUGGUAAAACAUAUAAACAAACAAAAGUAUUUUGGUGACCUGCAGAUAGGCCAUUUCCGUAAGCAUGCCCUAAAGGAUAAGAAUGGAAAGACAACACCAAAUUUGAUAUACAAAGAGUGA